rnacentral:rRNA from 1 species
CAGUAGCCGCGGGAAUACGGAGGGUGCAAGCGUUAAUCGGAAUUACUGGGCGUAAAGCGCACGCAGGCGGUUUGUUAAGUCGGAUGUGAAAUCCCUGAGCUUAACUUGGGAACUGCAUUUGAAACUGGCAAGCUAGAGUAUGGGAGAGGGGGGUAGAAUUCCAGGUGUAGCGGUGAAAUGCGUAGAGAUCUGGAGGAAUACCGAUGGCGAAGGCGGCCAGCUGGACAAAGACUGACGCUCAGGUACGAAAGCGUGGGGAGCAAACAGGAUUAGAUACCCGCGUAGUCCCUGUCUCUUAUAC